rnacentral:rRNA from 1 species
AUGUCUUGGUACAGUAGGACAUUUUCAUGGCUUGGGUUCAUCAGUUGGCGGGUGGUGCAGAGGAAAAACCAAUUGUUAGGAGGCAUCAUUAUAGUUCACAUGUUUCCUUACCGAUCCCAGUUCUUGCCCUGUGAUUAUUUUGUCAUGAAGCUUAUCUUGGCUAUCAAACCAUGGACCGUCAUCCGAGCUCCUCCUCCUCCUCCUACUCAGCAUUUCCAACAUAACCGUGCCACAGCGAGGCUCAGAAGCUGCUUGGAAUCUUCUCAAGACCAGGACGUCUUUACUAACAAAAAUAUCUUACUCACCAUGAUGGUUCUGUGGUUCCCGUGCAACAGAGAAGGAUGGCCAGAGCCUUGUUAUCUUUGGUUCUCUGGCCAAUAUGUAAAGAAUGCAAACUAG